GGUGAAUUAAUACCGGAUAACACUGCAUAACUACUGUUGUGUAGUCAAAGAAGGCCUAUGCUUGCAAGCUUUCGCUGAAGGAUGAGUCCGCGUACCAUUAGCUAGUUGGUAGGGUAAUGGCCUACCAAGGUUAUGAUGGUUAGCUGGUCUGAGAGGAUGAUCAGCCACACUGGAACUGAAACACGGUCCAGACUCCUACGGGAGGCAGCAGUGAGGAAUAUUGGUUAAUGGGCGAAAGCCUGACCCAGCAACGCCGCGUGUGCGAUGAAGGCCUUCGGGUCGUAAAGCACUUUUUAGUGGGAUGAGGAAGGACAGUACCACUAGAAUAAGUCUCGGCUAACUACGUGCCAGCAGCCGCGGUAACACGUAGGAGACAAGCGUUAUCCGGAUUUACUGGGUGUAAAGCGCGUGUAGGCGGCUCUGUAAGUUGGAUGUGAAAGCUCCUGGCUUAACUGGGAGAGGUUGUUCAAGACUGCAGGGCUUGAGGGUAACAGAGGGGAGUGGAAUUCCGAGUGUAGCGGUAAAAUGCAUAGAUAUUCGGAAGAACACCAGUGGCGAAAGCGGCUCUCUGGGUUACAUCUGACGCUCAGACGCGAAAGCUAGGGGAGCAAACGGGAUU
rnacentral:rRNA from 1 species